rnacentral:rRNA from 1 species
GUACUGGCCUUACUGAUUCCUCCUUCUUGAGAACUGUGAUGCCAUUUAUUUGGUGUUGCAGGGAAACAGGACUGUUACUUUGAAAAAAUUAGAGUGUUUAAAGCAGGCUAACGCUUGAAUACAUUAGCAUGGAAUAAUGAAAUAGGACGUUUGAUCCUAUUUUGUUGGUUUCUAGGAUUGACGUAAUGAUUAAUAGGGAUAGUUGGGGGCAUUAGUAUUCAAUUGUCAGAGGUGAAAUUCUUGGAUUUAUUGAAGACUAACUACUGCGAAAGCAUUUGCCAAGGAUGUUUUCAUUAAUCAAGAACGAAAGUUAGGGGAUCGAAGACGAUCAGAUACCGUCGUAGUCUUAACCAUAAACUAUGCCGACUAGGGAUCGGAUGAUGUUAAUUUUUUAAUGACUC